UACGAAGGGAGCUAGCGUUGUUCGGAAUCACUGGGCGUAAAACGCACGUAGGCGGAUGUGUCAGUCAGGGGUGAAAUCCCGGAGCUCAACUUCGGAACUGCCUUUGAUACAGCACAUCUGGAGUCCGGAAGAGGUGGGUGGAAUUCCUAGUGUAGAGGUGAAAUUCGUAGAUAUUAGGAAGAACACCGGUGGCGAAGGCGGCAUCCUGGACCAACACUGACACUGAGGAGCGAAAGCCAGGGGAGCAAACGGG
rnacentral:rRNA from 1 species